rnacentral:rRNA from 1 species
GAUGAACGCUGGCGGCGUGCCUAAUACAUGCAAGUCGAGCGAAGUUUUUCUGGUGCUUGCACCGGAAAAACUUAGCGGCGAACGGGUGAGUAACACGUAAAGAACCUGCCUCAUAGACUGGGACAACUAUUGGAAACGAUAGCUAAUACCGGAUAAUAGCAUUAACUGCAUGGUUGAUGUUUAAAAGUUGGUUUUGCUAACACUAUGAGAUGGCUUUGCGGUGCAUUAGCUAGUUGGUGGGGUAAAGGCCUACCAAGGCGACGAUGCAUAGCCGACCUGAGAGGGUGAUCGGCCACACUGGGACUGAGACACGGCCCAGACUCCUACGGGAGGCAGCAGUAGGGAAUCUUCCGCAAUGGGCGAAAGCCUGACGGAGCAACGCCGCGUGAGUGAAGAAGGAUUUCGGUUCGUAAAGCUCUGUUGUUAGGGAAGAAUGAUUGUGUAGUAACUAUACACAGUAGAGACGGUACCUAACCAGAAAGCCACGGCUAACUACGUG